CAACCUCAACUCAUAUGGGACUACCCCCUGAAUUUAAGCAUAUUAAUUAGGGGAGGAAAAGAAACUAACAAGGAUUUUCUUAGUAGCGGCGAGCGAAAAGAAAUCAGUUCAGCACUAAGUCACUUUGUCUAUAUGGCAAAUGUGAGAUGCAGUGUAUGGAGCGUCAAUAUUCUAGUAUGAGAAAUUAACGAUUUAAGUCCUUCUUAAAUGAGGCCAUUUACCCAUAGAGGGUGCCAGGCCCGUAUAACGUUAAUGAUUACUAGAUGAUGUUUCCAAAGAGUCGUGUUGCUUGAUAGUGCAGCACUAAGUGGGUGGUAAACUCCAUCUAAAACUAAAUAUAACCAUGAGACCGAUAGUAAACAAGUACCGUGAGGGAAAGUUGAAAAGAACUCUGAAUAGAGAGUUAAACAGUACGUGAAACUGCUUAGAGGUUAAGCCCGAUGAACCUGAAUAUCCGUUAUGGAAAAUUCAUCAUUAGAAUUGUAAUAUUUAAACAAUAUUAUGAUAAUAGUGUGCAUUUUUUCCAUAUAAGGACAUUGUAAUCUAUUAGCAUACCAAAUUUAUCAUAAAAUAUAACUUAUAGUUUAUUCAAAUUAAUUUGCUUGCAUUUUAACACAGAAUAAAUGUUAUUAAUUUGAUAAAGUGCUGAUAGAUUUAUAUGAAUACAGUGCGUUAAUUUUUCGGAAUUAUAUAAUGGCAUAAUUAUCAUUGAUUUUUGUGUUUAUUAUAUGCACUUGUAGGAUUAACAAUGCGAAAGAUUCAGGAUACCUUCGGGACCCGUCUUGAAACACGGACCAAGGAGUCUAACAUAUGUGCAAGUUAUUGGGAUAUAAACCUAAUAGCGUAAUUAACUUGACUAAUAAUGGGAUUAGUUUUUUAACUAUUUAUAGCUAAUUAACACAAUCCCGGGGCGUUCUAUAUAGUUAUGUAUAAUGAUAUUUAUAUUAUUUAUGCCUCUAACUGGAACGUACCUUGAGCAUAUAUGCUGUGACCCGAAAGAUGGUGAACUAUACUUGAUCAGGUUGAAGUCAGGGGAAACCCUGAUGGAAGACCGAAACAGUUCUGACGUGCAAAUCGAUUGUCAGAAUUGAGUAUAGGGGCGAAAGACCAAUCGAACCAUCUAGUAGCUGGUUCCUUCCGAAGUUUCCCUCAGGAUAGCUGGUGCAUUUUAAUAUUAUAUAAAAUAAUCUUAUCUGGUAAAGCGAAUGAUUAGAGGCCUUAGGGUCGAAACGAUCUUAACCUAUUCUCAAACUUUAAAUGGGUAAGAACCUUAACUUUCUUGAUAUGAAGUUCAAGGUUAUGAUAUAAUGUGCCCAGUGGGCCACUUUUGGUAAGCAGAACUGGCGCUGUGGGAUGAACCAAACGUAAUGUUACGGUGCCCAAAUUAACAACUCAUGCAGAUACCAUGAAAGGCGUUGGUUGCUUAAAACAGCAGGACGGUGAUCAUGGAAGUCGAAAUCCGCUAAAGAGUGUGUAACAACUCACCUGCCGAAGCAACUAGCCCUUAAAAUGGAUGGCGCUUAAGUUGUAUACCUAUACAUUACCGCUAAAGUAGAUGAUUUAUAUUACUUGUAAUAUAAAUUUUGAAACUUUAGUGAGUAGGAAGGUACAAUGGUAUGCGUAGAAGUGUUUGGCGUAAGCCUGCAUGGAGCUGCCAUUGGUACAGAUCUUGGUGGUAGUAGCAAAUAAUCGAAUGAGACCUUGGAGGACUGAAGUGGAGAAGGGUUUCGUGUGAACAGUGGUUGAUCACGAGUUAGUCGGUCCUAAGUUCAAGGCGAAAGCCGAAAAUUUUCAAGUAAAAUACAAAUGCCAAACAAAUAUAUAUAUUAUAUAAAAUCUAGCUAAAUUAAUAUACUUGAAUAAUUUUGAACGAAAGGGAAUACGGUUCCAAUUCCGUAACCUGUUGAGUAUCCGUUUGUUAUUAAAUAUGGGCCUCGUGCUCAUCCUGGCAACAGGAACGACCAUAAAGAAGCCGUCGAGAGAUAUCGGAAGAGUUUUCUUUUCUGUUUUAUAGCCGUACUACCAUGGAAGUCUUUCGCAGAGAGAUAUGGUAGAUGGGCUAGAAGAGCAUGACAUAUACUGUUGUGUCGAUAUUUUCUCCUCGGACCUUGAAAAUUUAUGGUGGGGACACGCAAACUUCUCAACAGGCCGUACCAAUAUCCGCAGCUGGUCUCCAAGGUGAAGAGUCUCUAGUCGAUAGAAUAAUGUAGGUAAGGGAAGUCGGCAAAUUAGAUCCGUAACUUCGGGAUAAGGAUUGGCUCUGAAGAUUGAGAUAGUCGGGCUUGAUUGGGAAACAAUAACAUGGUUUAUGUGCUCGUUCUGGGUAAAUAGAGUUUCUAGCAUUUAUGUUAGUUACUUGUUCCCCGGAUAGUUUAGUUACGUAGCCAAUUGUGGAACUUUCUUGCUAAAAUUUUUAAGAAUACUAAUUGGGUUAAACCAAUUAGUUCUUAUUAAUUAUAACGAUUAUCAAUUAACAAUCAAUUCAGAACUGGCACGGACUUGGGGAAUCCGACUGUCUAAUUAAAACAAAGCAUUGUGAUGGCCCUAGCGGGUGUUGACACAAUGUGAUUUCUGCCCAGUGCUCUGAAUGUCAAAGUGAAGAAAUUCAAGUAAGCGCGGGUCAACGGCGGGAGUAACUAUGACUCUCUUAAGGUAGCCAAAUGCCUCGUCAUCUAAUUAGUGACGCGCAUGAAUGGAUUAACGAGAUUCCUACUGUCCCUAUCUACUAUCCCUUCAGUGCGGAACACGUCACGUUAAAUAAGUUCGGAGGGAUCCGAGACACACCUGUCCCUAUCUACUAUCUAGCGAAACCACAGCCAAGGGAACGGGCUUGGAAUAAUUAGCGGGGAAAGAAGACCCUUUUGAGCUUGACUCUAAUCUGGCAGUGUAAGGAGACAUAAGAGGUGUAGAAUAAGUGGGAGAUAUUAGACCUCGGUUUGGUAUCGCCAAUGAAAUACCACUACUCUUAUUGUUUCCUUACUUACUUGAUUAAAUGGAACGUGUAUCAUUUCCUAGCCAUUAUACGGAUAUAUUUAUUAUAUCUUAUGGUAUUGGGUUUUGAUGCAAGCUUCUUGAUCAAAGUAUCACGAGUUUGUUAUAUAAUCGCAAACAAAUUCUUUAAUAAAACGGUGCAUUUAUGUAUUUUUGAUUUGAAAAUUUGGUAUAACUCCAAUUACUCAGGUAUGAUCCAAUUCAAGGACAUUGCCAGGUAGGGAGUUUGACUGGGGCGGUACAUCUCUCAAAUAAUAACGGAGGUGUCCCAAGGCCAGCUCAGUGCGGACAGAAACCACACAUAGAGCAAAAGGGCAAAUGCUGACUUGAUCUCGGUGUUCAGUACACACAGGGACAGCAAAAGCUCGGCCUAUCGAUCCUUUUGGUUUAAAGAGUUUUUAACAAGAGGUGUCAGAAAAGUUACCAUAGGGAUAACUGGCUUGUGGCUGCCAAGCGUUCAUAGCGACGUCGCUUUUUGAUCCUUCGAUGUCGGCUCUUCCUAUCAUUGUGAAGCAAAAUUCACCAAGCGUUGGAUUGUUCACCCAUGCAAGGGAACGUGAGCUGGGUUUAGACCGUCGUGAGACAGGUUAGUUUUACCCUACUAAUGACAAAACGUUGUUGCGACAGCAUUCCUGCGUAGUACGAGAGGAACCGCAGGUACGGACCAAUGGCACAAUACUUGUUCGAGCGAACAGUGGUAUGACGCUACGUCCGUUGGAUUAUGCCUGAACGCCUCUAAGGUCGUAUCCGUGCUGGACUGCAAUGAUAAAUAAGGGGCAAUUUGCAUUGUAUGGCUUCUAAACCAUUUAAAGUUUAUAAUUUACUUUUUAAACGACAAUGGAUGUGAUGCCAAUGUAAUUUGUAACAUAGUAAAUUGGGAGGAUCUUUGAUCACCUGAUGCCGCGCUAGUUACAUAUAAAAGCAUUAUUUAAUACAAUGACAAAGCCUAGAAUCAAUUGUAAACGACUUUUGUAACAGGCAAGGUGUUGUAAGUGGUUGAGCAGCUGCCAUACUGCGAUCCACUGAAGCUUAUCCUUUGCUUGAUGAUUCGA